UCCCAGUCAUAGUUUUGAGGCCACAAAAUGCUACAAACAACGUGAACAGCUCCUCCAGUUAAUAUAGAGACAAUGUUUCCAGCAAGCAUUGGUGCAUUUCGACCAGUUGUGUCAAGAUUUACCCGGCCAUACUCAAUGCUUGUAACUGACAACCAAGUGAUUAUUCCAAGAACACAA